AUGGAAAUUCAACAUUAAUAUUUUAAUAUUUAUUUAUAAAUAUUAUAAAAAUAGUGUGCAAUUUUUCCAUAUAAGGACAUUGUAAUCUGUUAAUGUAAUAAAUAUUUAUCAUAAGAUUCAAUAAUAAAAGUUUAUUCAAAUUAGUUAUUUUCCGAUUUCUAACAUAGAAUAAAUUUAAUUGAAUUUGAUAAAUCAUUGACAGAUUUAUUUAUAUAUAGUGCUUAAAUUUUUAAUAGAAUUUUACAAUAAUUUAUAAAUGUAUUUUCAUUUAUUUAUUUGUUGUAUGCACUUAUAUGAUUAACAAUGCUAUAGAUUCAGGAUACCUUCGGGACCCGUCUUGAAACACGGACCAAGGAGUCUAACAUAUGUGCAAGUCAUUGGGUAUUUUUAAUAAAACCCAAAGGCAUAAUUAACUUAACUGUUUUUAUAAAUAUGGGAUUAGUUUAUAUUUUAUUAUGAAAUAUUAAUUCAAUCCCGGGGCGUUCUAUAUAGUUAUGUAUAAUAAUAUUUAUAUUAUUUAUGCCUCUAACUAGAGCGUACCUUGAGCAUAUAUGCUGU
rnacentral:rRNA from 1 species